UGCAUACCACGAAACCAAAUCAAGAGUAGAAGAAAGAACUUGCUCAUUCGGAAAAGAAUCAUCAAUUUUUGGCUCUUCUAUGCUCUUGUGUUCAUUCUCUAACCGAGAAAUAUGGUCUGCUACUUGAUUUUCUGAUACCAAACGGUAUCUAAAUGAGCAUAAAACAGCCCACAAUCUUCGCAAAAUAGUCCACACGAUAAGACACCAAAUGGAA
rnacentral:lncRNA from 1 species